AAGGGACGUUGCCCUUCGGGGUAUACCUCCCACCCUUUGUUUAUUAUACCUUUGUUGCUUUGGCGGGCCCGUCCUCGGACCACCGGCUUCUGCUGGUCAGUGCCCGCCAGAGGACCUAAAACUCUGUUUGUUAAUAUUGUCUGAGUACUAUAUAAUAGUUA
rnacentral:misc_RNA from 1 species